rnacentral:miRNA from 1 species
CCUUACAAUCAAUGAGGUAUAACAACCUCAUCAGACAGAGGGGAUUCCUUCCAAUCAAUGAGGUAUAACAACCUCAUCAGCCGGAAGGGAUUCCUUCUCUUGAUGAGGAUGUUAUACCUCAUUGACCGGAAGGAAUCCCUUCUGGCCGAUAAGGUUGUUAUACCUCAUCAACUGGAAGG